UGGGGAAUAUUGCACAAUGGGGGAAACCCUGAUGCAGCAACGCCGCGUGAGUGAAGAAGUAUUUCGGUAUGUAAAGCUCUAUCAGCAGGGAAGAUAAUGACGGUACCUGACUAAGAAGCUCCGGCUAAAUACGUGCC
rnacentral:rRNA from 1 species